rnacentral:lncRNA from 10 species
CCAGCAGAGCUUUGGUUGUACUACUCUAAUACCCAUACAACACUGCUUUCCUUAGAGCCACAGCUACUGCUGAGAACUCAAAAACUUCUUCCUUUCCGGUGAACACGUCUAGACUUGGGCUGGGGAUGGGAUGAAGAUCUCUAACACCUUCCUGGAAAUCAAGAAGUGCAAAUAGGCCACAGGAUUCUGCUGCAAAUUCUAACAGGAGGAGGCAAUGGCAGCCCUUACUAAAACCGCAGAACUACAGGAAGAGGAUCCCUGAGUGGGAUUCCUGUGUGAAAGGCAUUUUCACCUUUUUGUGUAUCUUCAGAAUCUUAACUUUCAUGAGAGAAGAAUAGAAAUGCAACAAUGGAACAAUCCACUGUAUACACGUAGCUGACAAUUUAAUAAACUUGAAGGAAAUGCUACAGAGUCCUGUCAAUGUCUUUCUUGGUCCACAUGCGGCUUCUGUAGGAGAUCUUCUAUGUGUCAGGCCAGAAAUUCCAUGCAACCAGUCCUAGAUUUCCCAAUGGUGGUGCUGAAUGGAGCGUUUCACUUGGUGUCAUUGUCAGACAGUUCUGCCAAGUUUGUUAUUAGGCCUCACGUGGCCUAUGUAACAGGUUUUCCCCUACAUCUUGUCUAACCAACCUAGCAAAACUUUCAGUUCAUCCCCUUCUAUUCCAAUCUGAUCAAAGCUUGAGAGUGUCUCAUGAAAUUUUAUAGGUUUAGUUGUCUCAUUUAAAUUACCACCAUGAAAAUCUCCUGGAUCUUAAAAUUAAUGUAAACUUUAAUCUACAAUGUGAUUUCUUCCCCACCUGUGGCCUGAUUUUUAUUUUUUUUUAUUUUUUAUUUUUAUUUUUAUUUUUAUUUAUUUAUUUAUUUUUUUAUUGAUAAUUCUUGGGUGUUUCUCACAGAGGGGGAUUUGGCAGGGUCAUGGG